GAAAGCCGGAUGCGGGAAAUCUGCACGUCCGGUUUGAUGAGCGGGGAAGGGAAACGGAGCGCGAUCCAACGCGUCACCGCGCCCUUCCUCGACUCUAC
rnacentral:ncRNA from 2 species